AAAUGUUCCUCCAGGACAGAUCCACGGAGAGAGGGAAGAUGCUCCAGUGGUACCUCGUGAGUUUGCUGGCGUUACAUUUGUCUGGUGCUGCUUCUCUAACUGUCCACGGACCAAAAGAUGGCAGUGUUUCCCUGCCUUGUAAUUUGAGCGGAGAGAAUGUAUACGUCCGCUUAACAUUUAAAUCCAAAGUUGCUUAUGGUCGACAACAGCAUGAACAAUUCAAGGCCCGGGUGAUUGAGAGUGGUCAUGGUGACCUCAUUAUUAAAGACUUGGAGACCACUGAUGCUGGAAAAUACACUUUAAGUACUUAUGGCCACGGUGAUCCAA